GCAGGCAGAGGCAGGGGAUCUCUGAGUUGGAGGCUAAUCAGUCCCACACACCAAAUAAACCAAGCCAGGCCACAUAGUGAGACACUUGUCUCCAAAACAACAAAACAAACAAAAUAAGCCUGCCCUGGAGAUUUGGGGUUUAUUGCAGUCCUUCAUUGCAGUUCUUCACAGGAGUGCCCUGGAUCUAAAAGCCUAGGCGGGGAGUUAAAUCUAGUCGCUGGGUGUGGAAUGUUCUGGGGCAGACAUCCCCGGCUUGCUGGAAGAGUGCUACAGGGACUUAGGGUGCUACAGAAAUCUACAGAAGGGACCCCUGGCUCGCUGGGGCUCCUCUACUGGGGUAAACUCUGGAAGCUAGUCAAAUGCGAUGGCGACUUCCGGGAGGGGCGUGGUCGUCUCGAGGCGUGGCAUAGCUGGGGCGGGGCGACACCACUGGGUCGGCAGAGGCAGGAAAUCGGGCUGGUCCCGGGCGGCGCGCAGCCCUGUCCCUUUCUCAGCAUUGCCGCGCGUUCCCCACCCCACCCCCUGCCCCCGGGCAUCGCCAUGGACUCAGCGGAGACAGAGCUAACCCCAGCUCCUGAGGGCAGGAAGAGAUACAGUGACAUCUUCCAGAGCCUGGACAACCUCGAGAUAUCAUUGGGGAACGUAACUUUUGAUCCCCUGGCUGGAGACCCUGUACGCAGAGAAGACCUGGAGCCUGACAAAGCUGACACAGCCACAGUGGUGACUGAGGAGAACAGUGAAGCCAGUAGUUGGCGGGAUCUCUCCCCAGAAGGUCCUGCACCCCUCACAGAGGAAGAACUGGAUUUGCGACUCAUUCGGACCAAGGGUGGUGUAGAUGCUGCCCUGGAGUAUGCUAAAGCAUGGAGCCGCUAUGCCAAGGAACUGCUGGCCUGGACAGACAAGAGAGCCAACUACGAGCUCGAGUUUGCUAAGAGUAUCAUGAAGCUCGCUGAGGCUGGCAAGGUGUCCAUUCUCCAGCAGAGCCAAAUGCCACUCCAGUACAUCUACACCUUGUUUCUGGAGCAUGACCUCAGCCUGGGAGCCCUGGCCCUGGAGACAGUGGCCCAACAGAAGAGAGACUACUACCAGCCUCUGGCGGCCAAAAGGAUGGAAAUUGAGAAGUGGAGGAAGGAAUUCAAGGAACAGUGGCUGAAGGAGCAGAAGCGCAUGAAUGAGGCAGUGCAGGCACUGCGGCGCUCCGAGCUCCAGUACAUUCAACGCAGAGAGGACCUGAGGGCACGCUCCCAGGGGUCCCCUGAGGACCCUCCUUCCCAGGCAUCUCCUGGAUCCAACAAGCAACAGGAGCGCAGACGGCGCUCCCGAGAGGAGGCACAGGCCAAGGCGCAUGAGGCGGAGGCUCUGUACCAGGCCUGUGUCCGGGAGGCCAAUUCUCGCCAGCAGGAUCUGGAGACCACCAAGCGGCGGAUAGUGUCACAUGUGCGCAAGCUGGUGCUGCAAGGAGACGAAGUGCUUAGGCGGGUGACGCUGGGUCUGUUUGAGCUGCGAGGGGCGCAGGCAGAGCGAGGACCCCGCUCCUUCUCUGCUCUGGCUGAGUGCUGUGUGCCCUUUGAACCUGGCCAGCGCUACCAGGAGUUUGUUCGGACACUGCAGCCUGGGGCCCCACCGCCGCCAUCUCCGGCCUUCUGCUUCCAGGAGUUCACAGCUGUGGUGCACAGUUUCCCUCAGGACACAAAAAAGAAGUUUUCGGGGCCUCUACCUCCAAGGCUGGAGGAGGAGGGUUCCCCUGAGCCUGGCCCUUGGGAGGUUGCCAGCUUAGGCAGCCAGGGAAUCCCAGGCAGUGAUGUGGACAGUGUAGGUGGUGGCAGUGAGUCCCGGUCUUUGGAUUCUCCCACUUCCAGCCCAGGUGCUGGGGCCCGCCGACUUGUAAAGGCUUCGUCCACAGGCACGGAGUCCUCCGAUGACUUUGAGGAGCGAGACCCUGAUCUGGGGGAUGGGAUAGAGAAUGGAGUAGGCAGCCCGUUCAGGAAGUGGACACUGUCCACAGCUGCUCAAACCCACCGACUGCGGCGGCUGCGGGGCCCAGCCAAGUGCAGAGAAUGUGAAGCCUUCAUGGUCAGCGGGACAGAAUGUGAAGAGUGCUUUUUGACCUGUCACAAGCGCUGCCUGGAGACCCUCCUCAUCCUUUGUGGACACCGGCGGCUUCCGGCCCGGAUGUCCCUCUUUGGGGUUGACUUCCUACAGCUCCCCAGAGAUUUCCCUGAGGAGGUUCCCUUUGUGAUUACCAGAUGCACAGCUGAGAUAGAGCACCGUGCCCUGGGCUUGCAGGGUAUCUAUCGGGUCAGCGGGUCUCGGGUACGUGUGGAGCGGCUGUGCCAGGCCUUUGAGAAUGGCCGAGCACUGGUCGAGCUGUCCGGGAACUCUCCUCACGAUAUCACCAGCGUUCUCAAGCGAUUUCUUCAGGAGGGUGGCUGCUCGGUUUGAAGAAAACAAGAUGUCUGCCAACAAUCUGGGAAUUGUAUUUGGGCCUACACUGCUGCGGCCACCAGAUGGACCCAGGGCCACCGGUGCCAGCCCUGUGGCCUGUCUGCUGGACUCCGGUCACCAGGCUCAGCUGGUUGAGUUCCUCAUUGUGCACUAUGAGCAGAUCUUUGGAAUGGAUGAGCUCCCUCUGGCCUCGGAGCCUCUGACCCAAGACCCUGGCUUGGCUCCUGCAUGCCUUGAAUCCAGUCCCCAGCACCCAGCCUCACUUCUUGCCCAAGACACACAGCCCCUGACCAUAGCCUUGGAUUCCAGCCCAGACCCCAAACACCACAGUGCCUUGGAGAAGUGCCCCGAGGUCACACCUCCUGAGCUUGCAACUCUGCAGAGGGACCAGAGGGAGGAGGAGGUGGAAGACACCAGAGAUGGGGCAGGGGAUGGGUCCAGCCACUGCCCUGAGGACUUGGCCCUGGGAGCACAAUCCCGGGGCCACUUCAGCCGCCAGCCAGUGAAGUAUUCCCGGGGAGGUGUGAGGCCAGUUACUCAUCAACUCUCCAGCCUGGCUCUGGUGGCCUCCAAGCUGUGUGAGGAGACUCCUGUCACUGUCUCAGCAGUGCACCGAGGUAGUUUGAGGGUACGAGGUUUGGGCCCUGCUGCUGCCUGCCCUGAAGGCAGCCCCCUGCGCCGGAACCCUCUGCCCAAGCACUUUGAGAUCACCCAGGAGACAGCCCGACUUCUCUCCAAGCUGAACAGUGAUGCUGUGUCCAGGACCACCUGUUGUGCUGACCCAGAGCCUGAGGAGUCUGAAGAGCACCUCUGACCACCUACCAUCCUGAGGGACCCAGAACUGAAUUGAUGGUCCCUGACCCAACCUGGUGACCAAACCAAUUCAGUGGGGUGUGGGGAGAGACGGGGUUACCAGUGAGUUCCGGUAAUGAAGAUUACCUACCUGUGGGAGUCCCAAGACACUUGGUUGAAGUGUCCCAUCAUCUCCCUGCCAGAGGAGAUUUAAACAGCUAGGCAACACAGGUGCAGGUGUUUCGGGGUCAAGACUCAAUGGUCAAUACAGAUCAGUAGAUCCUUGGGGACUACCCGAGUCUCUGACCUCUGAGACGGGUGUCUUGACUAUUUCAGUCAUAAUGGCUCCUGGCCCUACUACACUUGCAGCAGUAACAGACUCCCAAGUUAGCAGGUGGCUGCAGCCCAGCCCUGUCUCCUUUUAAUUUGUUUGUUUGUUUGUUUGUUUUAAGCUAAGUCUCACUGUGUAGCUCUGGCUGGUCUGGAGCUCCCUUUGUGAGCCACAAAUCCUCUGCCUCCCAAGUGCUGGCUAAAUCUGUGUUCUUACAACCUCCAAAUAAAACCAUAUCCUGCUGCCGGCAGGAGGGCUGACCGCAGUGGUGCUUGCUGUAAAGCCUCACAUUUGUUGGACCUCCCAGAGCCACUUAGUGGAAGGAGAGAGCCCAUCCCUACAAAUUGUCUGACCUGUGCACAUGCACAAAUAAAA